rnacentral:rRNA from 1 species
AAUGCCUAGGAAUCUGCCUGGUAGUGGGGGAUAACGUUCGGAAACGGACGCUAAUACCGCAUACGUCCUACGGGAGAAAGCAGGGGACCUUCGGGCCUUGCGCUAUCAGAUGAGCCUAGGUCGGAUUAGCUAGUUGGUGGGGUAAUGGCUCACCAAGGCGACGAUCCGUAACUGGUCUGAGAGGAUGAUCAGUCACACUGGAACUGAGACACGGUCCAGACUCCUACGGGAGGCAGCAGUGGGGAAUAUUGGACAAUGGGCGAAAGCCUGAUCCAGCCAUGCCGCGUGUGUGAAGAAGGUCUUCGGAUUGUAAAGCACUUUAAGUUGGGAGGAAGGGUUGUAGAUUAAUACUCUGCAAUUUUGACGUUACCGACAGAAUAAGCACCGGCUAACUCUGUGCCAGCAGCCGCGGUAAUACAGAGGGUGCAAGCGUUAAUCGGAAUUACUGGGCGUAAAGCGCGCGUAGGUGGUUAGUUAAGUUGGAUGUGAAAUCCCCGGGCUCAACCUGGGAACUGCAUUCAAAACUGACUGACUAGAGUAUGGUAGAGGGUGGUGGAAUUU